GGAUGUGAGGGCGUUCUGGCUACGACAUCAGUCACACCAUUGAUCGCCAGGGUUGAUUCAGCUGAUCUGGCUGGCUAGGCCGGUGUCCCCUUCCUCCCUCACCGCUCCAUGUGCGUCCCUUCCUCCCGAAUCCCUGAAUAGAGACAGGCCGGUCUUCGGUUGAGGGUAUAGGAGUAGCUGUGUUCCCCUCCAAACAAGCUCUCAAGAAUUUAUUUAUUUAUUUAUUUAUUUAUUUAUUAUUAUCUUUA
rnacentral:snRNA from 1 species